AAUACAGAGGGGGCAAGCGUUAUUCGGAAUUAUUGGGCGUAAAGCGCACGUAGGCGGCGCCGCAAGUCAGGGGUGAAAUCCCGGAGCUCAACUCCGGAACUGCCUUUGAAACUGCAGUGCUAGAAUCCUGGAGAGGCGAGUGGAAUUCCGAGUGUAGAGGUGAAAUUCGUAGAUAUUCGGAAGAACACCAGUGGCGAAGGCGACUCGCUGGACAGGUAUUGACGCUGAGGUGCGAAAGCGUGGGGAGCAAACAGGA
rnacentral:rRNA from 1 species